GUAAAGAAAAACAAAUGUACUUAUAUAUGGUCAUAAUAAGGUUGACCGUUUCUACCCAGCACCGGAAAUGUUGGUCUAUAAGUAAAGAAGUGUCUUUA
rfam:Melissococcus plutonius ATCC 35311 DNA, complete genome.